GAGAAGUUUUUGACCGAGAGAGUUUACGAUGUACUUACUAACAGAUCAAGGAAAUACAAGCGAUCUGCCUCCUUCAAUUCAAGGAGAGUAGUACUUCUGUUCUCAGUCUUGUAAGUCAAAUCACAUCACAUUUUAGUUAUUGAACAAUCUCAUUUUAAUCAAGUUGGAUUACUUGUUCAAAUAAUUCUUACAAUAUAAAUUUCAUAAGUAGAAGUCAAAAUUACAAAAGCAAAUGACAUAGUCUCCAAUGUUUUAAGGAUAAAGCAUCAAUUGAAUGAUGUCAUGAAAACAUGAUAUAAAUUUGUAUAAGCCACUUGGGUAUGGUUAUGUCAUAGUUAGUGGC
rnacentral:lncRNA from 1 species